CUUGGACUCAAUGACCACCACCACCAGAAGAUGCAGAUUAUUGGCAGUUGCCUCCUCUUGGUCUGGAUCUUCAAACUCCAGAAAGAGUCUCGGAUACAAUCCAAUACUUGAUUUGGCUGGCAUCACCCCUUCUACAUAAUCUCUCUCAGAAGAGGAAAGCACAAGCACUAGGAGAAUUCAAAGUAUACUUCCCAGGUAAUUGGACUCAGCAUGACUUAUUUCUCAGUAAAUAUGUCUGGAC
rnacentral:lncRNA from 11 species